AUUUUCGGCACGAUUUAGGACGUAAUUGGUUUUUUUCUUUGUUUGUAUUGAGUCAGAUUGUAUUAAAUAAUUGUAAUAUAAUUGUCAGGUGAGCCGGGACAGCCUUCUUCCUCCGCCCAGCCGCCACAGUGAUUGUCGUCAAGUCUGCCACAGGAGGAUAUUUUGUUCUGGGUUAACCUGCUUUUCUACUUCGCAGGUUGUUUAUCAAUAUUUGUGUAAUUUUAUUUACUCCUAGAAUUUCCGCAUGUGUUAGCAGUAAUUAUUUGAAUUUGGUCUGUAAUAUUAUUAUCAUGUUGGACCUGUAAACUUAAUAUUUUAAGUCUGUUUUGAUGGAUUGGAUGAGGGAGCUGAGCUCCCAUUUAUUAUUAUGUUGAUGAGUAUGUGGAGGGUGAGCUGAGCUCCCCCAAUGGAU